rnacentral:lncRNA from 1 species
CACCAUCUCGGCGUCAUCUUGUGCAUGCCAUGGUUUUCGGCUUACUAGCAAUUAACGUGGCGGCCAAUAUUUAUGAUAAUGAGGAACCUCCUAGGCCACCUCAUGAUCACGAAGACCCACCAUUACCAUAUAAUCAUAAAAACUCUCUAUUUCUGCCAUCAGGACUUCUUCAUCGAGGAACACCGCCGCCGCCGCCUCGAUCACCACUACCUCCAAAUAAGAAGAAAACGCCCCCACCACCUCCAAAAAAGAAGAAAACACAGUCACCUCCACCACCAGCAAAAUCUCCACCCCCGCUACCACGAGCAAAGUCUCCACCUCCGCCACCAUCAGCAAAGUCUCCACCAUUGCCAUCAGCUUCACCUCCGACCUCAUCUUCAGCUCCCAUUUUACCUCCAUUGCCUUCUAAAAUUUCUCUCACUGUCCCUAACUCCCAAUUUAUCUCCAUUACAUCCUUAUACUCCACCGACAUCCUCUCCAAAAGUUUCACGAUUUCCAUCACCAUCCCCAACUCCCAAUUUAUCUCCAUCACAUCCUUAUACUCCCCCGACAUCCCCUCCAAGAAUUUCACCCAUUCCAUCACCAUCUCCAUCCCCAUCCCCAACUCCUAAUUUAUCUCCAUCACAUCCUUAUACUCCCCCGACAUCCUCUCCAAAAGUUUCACCAUCCCCAUCCCCAACUCCCAAUUUAUCUCCAUCACAUCCUUAUACUCCCCCGACAUUCCCUCCAAAAAUUUCACCCAUUCCAUCACCUCCUUAUACUUCUCCUCCACCCCCUCCACCUAUCCUCAAAUCUCCACCUCCUCCGAGGUUUACACUUUCUCCCUUAUUUCACUUUAAAUCCCCGCCACCUCCAUCUCCUUCCCCCCCUCCACCUUUCCUCAAAUCUCCACCUCCUCCGAGGUUUACACUUCCUCCCUUGUUUCACUUUAAAUCCCCGCCACCUCCAUCUCCUUCCCCCCCCUCCACCUUUCCUCAAAUCUCCACCUCCUCCGAGGUUUACACUUCCUCCCUUGUUUCACUUUAAAUCGCCGCCACCUCCAUCUCCUUCUCCCCCUCCACCUAUCCUCAAAUCUCCACCUCCUCCGAGGUUUAAACUUCCUCCCUUCUUUUACUUUAAAUCCCCGCCACGUCCAUCUCCUUCUCCCCCUCCACAUAUCCUUAAAUUUCCACCUCCUUCGAGGUUUACACUUCCUCCCUUCUUUCACUUUAAAUCUAAAUCCCCGCCUUCUCUAUCUCCAUCACCUCCUUCAUCCAAUAAUUAACCUCCACCUCGUUCAAAAAUAUCUAUCAAAAUUGGUCAGUUCUUUUAACUUUCUUUGUAAUAGAUUGUUCAUUUCGAUAACAUGGUUCUUUUUUUUUUUUAAUUUACCAAUAUUUAAUCUCUAAUUGUGUUUUUUUUUUUCAGAUUAUAUAUGGUUAAUGAUGGCAGUGGGUUUCUUCGAAGAGACUUACAUAUUAUAUAAUGCAUGUAUUGAAAAUGUAAUCAGUUGAAGGAAAGUCGAUUGUGCUCCAUCAAUCAUGCCAGAAUAAUAUCAUAGAAAAUUAGUUAUUGUAAUAAUAUAUGGAUAAUAUGGAGGAAAAUAUUAUGUUUGUUGAAAAGCAUUAUAAUACUAAAUGAAUGUCUUUUAUUACAAUAAUUACUUCUUUUUUUACAAUUCUUAUCGUUAAACUUUUUACUCGUCUAAUUUCUUUGGAGAAAAACAGUAAAAGAGAAUUUAGAUAUCAGGACAAUGUUUACCUAUAUACAUUGAAGACUUUCCCACGUGAAAAUCUCAAUUAUUUGGACUUCCAGGUGUAUAAACUUGAUUAUAAUUACUUUCAUAUAUAAUUAGCGAUGUGAUUAUCGGGAAGAGUUCGAAAGGAUGGCGUCACCAUCUCGGUGUCAUCUUGUGCAUGCCAUGGUUUUCGGCUUACUAGCAAUUAACGCGGCGGCCAAUAUUUAUGAUAAUGAGGAACCUCCUAGUCCACCUCAUGAUCACGAAGAUCCACCAUUACCAUAUAAUCAUAAAAACUCUCUAUUUUGUCAAAGAACCAACUCAACCCAAAAGCUUAAGCUGUUAGGUGAGGUCCCAGGAUAUGAUUUAUAUUAUUCUCUAACACACCCCCUCAAGUGAAAGCCCUUUAGGCUUGAAACUUGCACAGGCCCACAUUACCUUGUGCUUAAUUUUUAUCAAAUAAAUGAGGAUGGUGAGAUUCGAACUCGAGACCACUUGGUCUUUAUACACAGGGGAUCAACUCGUCUUUAUACACUAAAAACACAACUAUAAAAGCAAAUCUUCACGUCCAUUCCUUGUUCAGAAGCUAAUUAGCGAGAGCAAGUGUGAUUAUCGGGAAGAGUUCGAAAGGAUGGCGUCACCAUCUCGCCGUCAUCUUGUGCAUGCGAUGGUUUUCGGCUUACUAGCAAUUAACGCGGCGGCCAAUAUUUAUGAUAAUGAGGAACCUCCUAGUCCACCUCAUGAUCACGAAGACCCACCAUUACCAUAUAAUCAUAAAAACUUUGUAUUUCAGCCAUCAGGACUUCUGAAUCGAGGAACACCGUCGCCCCCUCGAUCACAACCACCUCCAAAUAAAAAGAAAAUGCCCCCACCACCUCCAAAAAUUCAUCACCUUCAGCCGCCGCCACAAGCAAAAUCUCCACCACCACCACCACCAGCAAAAUCUCCAACAUUGCCAUCAGCUUCACCUCCGACACCAUCUUCAGCUCCUAUUUUACCUCCAUUGCCUUCUUAUAUUUCUCCAGUUACAUCCCCUUCAAAAGUUCCACCAAUUCCAUCCCCAUCCCCAUCCCCAUCCCCGGCUUCAAAUUUAUUUCCAUCUCCUCCUUAUACUUCACCAGCAUCCCCUCCAAGAAUUUCACCCAUUCCAUCACCAUCCCCAUUCCCAUCUCCUAAUUUAUCUCAAUCACAUUCACAUACUCCUCCGACAUCCCCUUCAAAAGUUUCACCAUUUCCAUCACUAUUCCCAUCCCCGCAUCUCAAUUUAUCUCCAUCCCCUUCUUAUACUUCACCAAAAAUCUCACCAAUUUCACCACUAUCCGCACCCCCAACUCCUAAUUUAUCUCCAUCACAUCCUCAUACUUCCCCGAUACCCACUCCAAAAGUUUCACCAUUUCCAUCACUAUCCCCAUCUUCGCAUCCCAAUUUAUCACCAUCACCUUCUUACACUUCUCCAAAAAUCUCACCAAUUUCACCACUAUUUGCAUCCCCAAAUCCUAAUUUAUCUCCAUCACAUCCUUAUACAUCCCCGAUACCCCCUCCAAAAGUUUCACCAUUUCCAUCACUAUCCCCAUCGCCGCAUCCCAAUUUAUCUCCAUCGCCUUCUUAUACUUCUCCCAAAAUCUCACCAAUUUCACAUCUAACCCUAUCCUCGAAUCCCAAUUUAUCUCCAUCACAUCCUUAUACUUCCCCGAUACCCACUCCAAAAGUUUCACCAUUUCCAUCAAUAUCAUCAUCCCCGCAUCCCAAUUUAUCUCUAUCGCCUUCUUAUACUUCUCUCAAAAUCUCACCAAUUUCACAACUAUCCCCAUCCCCGAAUCCCAAUUUAUCUCCAUCAUAUCCUUAUACUUCCCCGAUACCCACUCCAAAAGUUUCACCAUUUCCAUCACUAUCCCCAUCUUCGCAUCCCAAUUUAUCACCAUCGCCUUCUUAUACUUCUCCAAAAAUCUCACCAAUUUCACCACUAUCCCCACCACCAACUCCUAAUUUAUCUCCAUCACAUCCUCACACUCCUCCGACAUCCCCUCCAAAAGUUUCACCAUUUCCAUCACUACCCCCAUCAUCGCAUCCCAAUUUAUCUCCAUCGCCUUCUUAUACUUCUUAUACUUCUCCCAAAAUCUCACCGAUUUCACAACUAUCCCCAUCUUCGAAUCCCAAUUUAUCUCCAUCACAUCCUUAUACUUCCCCGAUACCCACUCCAAAAGUUUCACCAUUUCCAUCACUAUCCCCAUCUUCGCAUCCCAAUUUAUCUCCAUCGCCUUCUUAUACUUCUCCAAAAAUCUCACUAAUUUCACCACUAUCCCCAUCCCCAUCCCCGAAUCCUAAUUUAUCUCCAUCACAUCCUUAUACUCCUCCGACAUACCCUCCUAAAAUUUCACCAAUUCCAUCACAUCCUUAUACUUCCCGAUUCCCCCUCCAAAAGUUUCACCAUUUCCAUCACUAUCCCCAUCCCCAACUCCUAAUUUAUCUCCAUCACGUCCUUAUACUCCUUCGACAUACCCUCCAAAAAUUUCACCAAUUCCAUCACAUCCUUAUACUUCCCCGAUUCCCCCUCCAAAAGUUUCACCAUUUCCAUCACUAUCCCCAUCCCCAAUUCCUAAUUUAUCUCCAUCACAUCCUUAUACUCCUCCGACAUACCCUCCAAAAAUUUCACCAUUUCCUCACCUCGUUUUACUUCUCCUCCACCCCCUCCACCUAUCCUCAAAUCUCCGCCUCCUCCGUGGUUUACUCUUCCUCCCUUCUUUCCCUUUAAAUCCCCGCCACCUCUAUCUCGUUCUCCCCCUCCACCUAUCCUCAAAUCUCCACCUCCUCCAAGGUUUACACUUCCUCCCUUCUUUCCCUUUAAAUCCCCGCCACCUCCAUCUCCUUCUCCCCCUCCACCUAUCCUCAAAUCUCCACCUCCUCCGAGGUUUACAUUUCCUCCCUUCUUCCCCUUUAAAUCCCCGCCACCUCCAUCUCCUUCUCCCCCUCCACAUAUCCUUAAAUCUCCACCUCCUCCAUGGUUCUUUUUGCCUCCCUUUUUCUUUAAAUCCCCACCUCCUCUAUCUCCAUCACCUCCUUCAUCCAAUAAUUAACCUCCACCUCGUUGAAAAAUAUCUUACUAAAUUGGUCAGUUCUUUUAACUUUCUUUUUAAUAGAUUGUUUAUUUCGAUAACAUGGUUCUUUUUUAAAUUAUUUUUUUUACUAAUAUUAAUCUCUAAUUGUUUUUUUUUCAGAUUAUAUAUGGUUAAUAAUGGCAGUGGGUUUCUUUGAAGAGACUACAUAUUAGAUAAUGCAUGUAUUGAAAAUGUAAUCAAUUGAAGGAAAGUGGACUGUAUCAAUCAUGCCAAAAUAAUAUCAUAGAACUUUAGUUAUUGUAAUAAUACAUGGAUAAUGUGGAGGAAAAUAUUAUGUUUGUUAAAAAGCAUUAUAAUACUAAAUGAAUGUCCUUUAUUACGAUAAUUACUUCUUUUUUAUAAUUCUUAUCGUUAAAAUUUUUACUCAUCUAAUUUAUUUGGAGAAAAAUAGUAAAAGAUAAUUUAGAUAUCAGGACAAUGUUUACCUAUAUACAUUGAAGACUUUCCCCACGUGAAAAGCUCGAUUAUUUGGACUUCCAGGUCUACAAACUUGAUUAUAAUUAUUUUGAUAUAUAAUUAACGGUGUGUAUAACAUAUGGUCCCUUGAUUAUAAUAAUUUUAAUAUAUUAUUAACUGUGGGCAUAGACUCUCUGUGAGAAGAACGAGGCUUUUUUGUUUUGAAUUUUACCAUUCAAUAUUGAGUUGAUUGAUGAUAAAUUAAUUUUAGCAUUUUCUAUGAUAUAAUAAAAUAAAAAAAUAAUUUGACCCAGCGGAGUCCUUAACCUGAAUCAUAGGGUUGAUAGACUGACUAAAUAUCAAUUAAAAAGUUAGGUAGGGAUUUUUCAAGUUUAAAUUAUUAUAUCGAGUUUAAUAACAAUGUUGGAAAGUUUUUAACGAUCUAAAUGUGUCUUUUUUAUGUUUAAACCCAUAGCGAAAGUGCAAGCAGGUUAAACUAGUUAGAACUAAUUAAACUAUCUGAAAAAAGGAUUCAUCAGACACAUUUUAGGUUACAAACUUUGAAUUGAUACUGAAUUAUAAUGCAAGAGAGUUGAAUUCUCUUUUUAAUACAAUUUUUUCCAAAAAAAAUUCAUGAAUUUUUUAUAAUAUGGCUUACUGUAAGAAAAGAAAUGGUUCAAACAAAUUGUAUAUGAAUAGAAGCAUCACAACAAGAAGAAGAAACAAUGAGAAGAAAAGCUUUGAUUGUGAUAAGUCAAUAUUUUUUGUUUAUAUUUUUAUUGCUUGAAAAAACCCAAGACGAUAUGGCUCUAGCAACAUGCAAGACCCAAUACACUUGGGUUCGGCAAUUAGCUGAACCCAAAGUAAUGUGGGUCUGACAAUAUGUCAGGCCCAACAUACUUGGGUUCACGAAUCAGCUAAACUCAAGGCAACAUGGGCCCGAUAAAAUGCCAAACUCAAGACACUUAGAUUCAAAAUUUAGUUGAGUCCAAGGCAACAUGAGCCUGGUGAAAUGUCAAACCUAAAAAGCUUAGGUUCAACAAUCAGCUGAAGAACCUAAGGCAACAUAGGCUUGGCGAAAUGCCAAACUCAAGAAACUUGAAUUUAGCAAUCAGCUCAACGCAAGAUAACAUGGGUCUAGCAGUUUGCAAGACUCAACACACUUGGGUUCAACAAUCAGCUAAACCCAAGACAACGUGGACCUGACAAAAUACCAGACCUAAUACGCUUGAGUUUAGUUAUUAGUCGACCACAAGGUAACUUUAAUAUGGCAAUAUGUCGGAUCCAAAUGAUUAAUUAAACCAGAGGUGCAUGCUACAAAUUAGAUAAACUGUCACACCCUUUUUUUUUAUCUAAGUUUGGCUACAUCUCAUGUCUUAAGUGUACAGGGAUAAGGAGUCCUACUUUUAGAAUGGUUACAUGAUUUAUUCAUAUCAAAGGUAAUGAUCUCUCUAUAUUUAUAGAUGUACAAAAGGUUACUUAGGGAGUCCACCACCCGUACCUUUCCAUUAAUAAUGUGUAAGGGAUAUUUGUUUCUCAUUAAUGGUGUGUAAGGGAUAUUUGUCUCUCAUUAAUGCCACGAAAAGCAAAUAACUUUUUAGUCUUGCUCUUCUCUAAAGACAACUAGGUUUAAGGUUUAUAAAUAUCCCUUGAACUAUUCAGGUAACAGGUUCAAAACUUUUUCGACUCAAUAGCUUGCAUAUACUUCGGAGCAUUAAUCAUUCUAAAAUACAAGAACAAACACUUUUGUUCUUGGAACUUAGGGCUCUUUUGAGUUAUUUAUUGCUUUUCCCAUAAAGUUAUUGACUUUGUUUUUACAGGUACUUAGGUUUUUACCAUUAUUUUGGUACUUUUUUAGCUAAGGAGAAGAUAAUUGUGUUCUUAAACACCUUGACCCACCACUAUUCAAAUACUGAAUAACUUCUUGCUUGAAUAUUCUAAAUUUUAGGAUAUCACCAUAUUAGAUCAAUUAAUCAAGGUGCUCGAAUAUAAUCAAGCUAACUCUUUAAUUAUUUUAAUAUCAGAGUUAAAAUAUGAAUCACUAAAUUUUUAAAUUAAUAUAUUGAAUUUAUACACGAUUUGAUAGCUAUUUAAAUAGAACCAUAAGUAGAAAGUUAUAAUUAAUAAGGUUUUGCUUAACCAUUUUGAUAGCUAUAUAAAUAAAACCAAAAGUAGAAAAUUACAACAAAAGGUUAGCAACCCCAAUCAUGUCCAGACAAGCAAUUUCUAAAGCAAAAGGAAUCAAAAUAAUGAAUCCUAAUAUAAUAGGAUAAACAAUGAUUUGCUAACCAAAAGGAGUUAGAUGUGAUUAAUUAAAAUUAGAUAGCGAUUAUGUAUUCGAUAAAUUAUUUUAGAAAACAAAGUUGAAGUCCUAAUUACUAGAGUUUAUUUGUUUAUGUAAUAAAAAAAGACUACAAUUCCAUUUUAUAUUUGAAAAAUAUAAAUGAAUAAAAAGAAAAUUAGUAUGUAGUUUACAAGUUAAACAAAGAAUUUUGGCUUUGGCAGCAAAUCCUUAUAUAACUAAAAAAUAAAAAUGGAAAAAAUACCAAAUAUAGAAUACAAGAGUCAAAACCUACUGCAAAUAUUACAACAAAAAACUAACUCAAUACUAGAGCGGCAGGACAAAACACGACUUCAACCGCAUAGUAGCAUCAGAUCCAAAUUGAAUUGUCAUUGCUACUAAAUUUUUAAAUAUUGGAUUUGAUACGAAGGCAAUGUUUUAUUUGUGGUUCAAGUUAGAUUGUAUUCGUAUAAUUAAAUACAUGAUCCCAUAAUAUUAGUAGCAUGACAAUGUUAAAUCAUUUUGCUCUACCUUAUUAAUUUAUGUAUAUUCCCAUAAUACUUUCUUCAUAAUAAUAAGUUUUGAAUUUGUGAUUAAGUUGAUUUAUUUACCAGCUUGUAAUUGAGCUUGAAUUAGCAUUUUCAUGGACUAAAUUCUUCCAAAUUUAAGUAGCUUUUUUUAAAUAAAAAAAAACACUUAAUGCAUGAAAGCAGAUGAAUGCUACCCCCUCCUCCGUACUACUGACACAGAUCAAACACUAGCGAGGAGGGAUUGUGCUUACUUGCACCAAUAUCAGUGGUAAAUUCAACAAAAAUCUUUAAUAUCACAAUAUUGAGUGAUGUUAGAUUAAUGUUAAACUUUUAUUAAAAAAAUUAUAUAAUGAUGUCAUACAAUAUUUCAUCAAAUAAUCCGCUAUAUAUUAUUGGGGAAACAAAACCGAGCCAAUAUGAUGUUUCGAAAAUCUUUAAUAAUGAGCAUCACAGAGUUAGAAAAUAGUAUGAUGACAAAAAAAGGAAAAAAAAAAUACAUGUGCCAAAACAAAACCAUAUCAUCAGGACACGUUCCAGUACUGCCCUUUUUUUUUCAUUUUCAAGAAUUGGGCAUCACCGAUAGUGGACACGAAACCUAAAGAAAUGGAAGAAAACAAAAAUUCCCGAGUUAAUUGAUAAAAUCAAUGAAUGGACAACACAACCAUUUUGAAAUGAAGAAAGAAAAAAGGUUCGCCUUUCUUGGCUUCUCAUAAGAAGAAAAAGCAUACGCCGGUAAACUGGUCAGAUUCUGAAUUUACAUUUUAGAAAUUACUAGUUCGAGUAUCAUAAUUAUUAGGAUUAUUGGAGACUUAUCUGGUCAUUAACUUCAGGGCCUCGAAAGAUUAGUCGAAGUGCACGUAAUCUGGUCCGGACACCCAUAAUUACCACAAAAAAAAAAACAACGUUCAAGCAACCCCCAAGUCCCCAAUAUCUCUGUCAGGGUCUUUAUCUAUCUCCAGACAGAUAGAUUUUACUUGAGUCUCCAAAGUUUACGGAGAUUACUGGAGAUUCCAUAAAGUAUCAAACUUGAAUGACAGUUUUCUUUGCGGAUUAAAGGUAAGAGACAUCUUUCCAAUACAUUAGGAAGUUCUUUAUUUGUGGGGGCGUCAUCUGUUAAGUAAUGAACCUUCCUGUUCACUGUUUAUGGUUUCAUAGAAUUAUAUCAGUUCAUGAGGCAUGGAUUUUUUGUUAAAGAACAGUCUAUCAAGUUCUGUUUGUGUUACUUUGUUUUCUUGCUUUGUGCUUAUUUGUUUGGUAGCUUGGAAAUGAUGGGAAAGAAAACAAAUUAAAGUAAAUUUGAUUUCUUUGAGUUGAUUAAUUUGAGAUGAGAAUUAAAAACUAUGCCUAGAAGUAGUAUUUAUGAUGAUUUCGUAAACAUUUGGGAGAUAUGACAGUAUAGAAGCAUGAUAUUCUCGUCUGAAUUCUCUAUCUCUGUUUUCCUUGUUCUUACGGAGUUCUCUCUUCAACUACGAUUUACCUAAUCACUGCAGGUCAACCUUUCUGGGGUAUGGAAAUUCUUACUUCCAGCACCGUACCAUGCCGUCUUGUUGUAAAUCUGAGGUCGAUAUGAGAUGAAAAUGUAUCGAAUUCUUGCCUGUUAAAGCUCCCUAUUAGUAGUGAGCGCAAAAUGUUGGUUGCUAGGACUGAUCACAGUAGCGGGUCUUUGAGAUUUUCUAGUUUUGAUAUUGAAGAAAGCUAGAGAAUUACAAUCUCUGAUCAUAUUUUGUAUUGAUGGAAUUGUACAAGUAUAUUUGGAAUAGAAUCAGAACCUAAUACAACAACUAAUGAUAUGAUUCUAUCCUUGAUUCUAGAAAGGAUAUAUAGUAAUUACAAGAUCAUCUAAACUAGGUAUAAAUAAACUAUCUUAGAUAAUGACAUAACUGCAGAAAUCUUCAAUAUCUACACCAUUAAUCUACAAUAUCUUCAAUAUCUACAAUAUCUUUAAGACUCCUCCUCAUGAUAGAUUAAGUGGAUUAAUUGAUCCAAGCUUGCUUAACAACCGAUAAAACUAAUCACAAGGUAGAAUUUUGGUAAACACAUUAUCUAGUUGAUCAUAAGUGCGCACAUACUUAGUUUGAAUAAGUUUAGCUUGAACUUGCUGAUGAAUAUAAUGACAAUCCACUUCAAGGUGUUUCGUUCGUUCAUGAAACACCGGAUUAGCUGCAAUAUACAUGGCAGCUUGAUUAUCACAAAACAAUGUCACUGGUGUAUGAUUGUGAAAACCGAGAUCUGCAAGUGAAUUCUUGAGCCAGAUCAAUUCACAUGAAGCAGAUAUCAUUGCGCGAUAUUCAGCUUCAAUACUUGAGCGAGCGACCACAUGUUUUUUUCUUUUCCAGGACACUAAAUUACCUCCAACAAACAUGAAAAUAUUCAGUGGCAGAUCAUCUAUCUAGUGCAUUGCCUGCCCUAUCUGAGUUUGUGUAGCCCAUAUGUUUGUGUGCCCAUUGCGUUUCAUAACAAUCUCGUGGCCAACAAUCCCUUUCAAAUAUCGCAAAAUUAGUUUCAUAAUGCCAAGAUGUUGAACUGUUGGAGCAUGCAUGUAUUGGCUUAAUGAACUGACGGCAAAGUAAUAUCCGAUCUAGUAAUUGUUACGUAAAUUAAUUUGCCAACAAUCCUUUGAUAAGUGGUGAAUGACGUGAAAUGUUUGCUUAAGGAGUCCAAUUUGAUCUUAUUGUCCAGGGUAGUAAUGGUUGGCUUAGCAUGUAGCGUUUCAGCUUGUUGUAACAAAUCUAGGAUAUACUUCUGUUGAUUAAGAAACCUUUGCUAGAAGUUGCCAUUUCAAUCCCUAAGAAGUCCUUUAGUUUACCAAGAUCUUUAAUUGAGAAUUGCUUCUACAGAUCUUUCUUCAAUUUUGCUAUAGAAUCUCUAUUAUUCCUAGUGAUCAUUAAAUAAUCUACAUAGACAAGCUCAACAAGUUUUUCAUCUGAAUUUUGCCAGACAAAUAGGAAAGAAUCAACAUUGCCCUUGUAAAACCAAAAGCUUUCAGAGCAAUGCUUAACUUUGCAUGCCAUGCUUGUGGACUCUGUUUCAAUCUAUAAAUGGAUUUAUGAAUUUUUGCAAACCAAAUUAGGAUGGUUACUCUAUGGAUGUCCAAGAGGUAGUUUCAAGAACUCUUUUUCUUUAAGUUCUCCAUGUAAGAAUGCAUUUCUUACAUCCAUUUGAUACAAUUAUCGGCCAUGAUUAAUUGAAACGGAUAAUAAGACUAUGACAAUAGUCAUUUUUUCCAUAGGAGCAAAUGUUAUUCAACUUCAAAUUUCUGAGAGAAACCUUGAGCUACAAACCAAGCUUUAUGUAGUUCAAUUGUUCCAUUUGAGUUGAACUUAGUCUUGAAAAUCCAGCGAUAACCUACUACUUGUUUACCUAUGGGAAGAGGCAUGAUGCUUCAUGUAUGAUUGUUGUCAAGUGCAGGCAGUUCGUCCUUUAUAGCUUGCUGCUAUACAACUUAAGAUUGAGCUUCUUGAAAUGUCUUUGGCUCAUGAAAAUUUGAUAUGGAAAUGAGGAAUGUUUGUGAUCUGGAGACAGUUGAUAAUAUGACAGAGAUUUAGAGACUGGACGCUUGACAUUAUAAGUUACAUACUCUUGUAGUCUAGAAGGGGGUUGAUGUUUUCUGUACGAUAUUCUUUUUGAAGUUGGUUGAUCAUUUGGAAUACUAAGAACUUCUUGCACACUUGAUUCACUUGAUCAAAGUUGAAAUCUAUUCAUGUAGCUUCAUCAGAAAAGUUUACAUCAGAUAUUAGACUGACACACUGAAUAUCACUCGCAGAACUUGAUUUUGAUGUAGGGCUGUCAGAACUGGAAUUAGUUCUAGCACUAGGACUGUCGUUGCAAAGAGCAUGGACUCUGAUUGAUGGAACUUGAACUAGGCAACAUAAAUAAUUCAAAAAGAUCCUCCCCCUGACUUGUUGCGGAGAAAUAAGGGAUGUCUUAAAUGAAUAUAACACCUCUUAAUAUAUAUAUAUAUAUAUAUAUAUAUAUAUAUAUAUAUAUAUAUAUCUUCUUUAGUAAGGGAUUAUAACACUAGUAAAUGAUCGAUGGAACUUGACUAUGCAGCAGCAAUAAUUCAAAAUGAUCCUCCCCCGACUUGUUGCGGAGAAAUAAGGGAUGUCUUCAAUGAAUCUAACACCUCUUGAUAUGUACAUCGUUUUUAGUGAGGGAUCAUAACACUUGUACCCCUUUUGUGUUUGAGAAUACCCCAAGAAAAUGCAUUUAAUUGCUCUUGAAUCAAGCUUAUCAUGUUGUGAUGGUGGCAAGUGUACAAAACAGGAGCAUCCAAACACUUUGAGAUGUGACAAAUAUGGACUUUUAGCCUGCAAAACUUGAAGAGGAGAUUUAAAACCUAGCACACGGCUGGGUAACUAAUUUAUAAGAUAUGCAGCCUUGAGAACACCAUAUGACCAAAAUCGUUUUGGAACAUUCAUUUGAAACAUUAUGGUACAUUGUUUUUUCAAGCAGAUCGUGAAUUUUUCAUUCAGAAACCCUAUUUUGUUAGAGUGUACCAACACAACUAGUUUGAUGCAAUAUGCCAUUAGCUAGUUUGAUGCAAUAUGCCUUCAGAACGUAAAUAAUAUUACAUAUCUUUGGAAAUGUAUUUGGUGCCAUUAUCUAAUCGGAUGAUUUGAAGAUGAACUGAGAACUGAUUUGUAAUCAACAUAUGAAAAUCCUUAAGAUAUUCAAAUACUUCAUUCUUAACUUUCAGCAAUACACCCAUGUGACUCUAGAGAAAUCAUCAAUAAAGGUUACAGAGUAUUUAAAACCAUCUAGUGAAGUAUAGAAUGGUCUCCAUACAUAUGAGUGUACAAGUCCAAAUGCAUGAGUAUCAUGUGAUAUGAAUGGAUUAAAAGGAAGUUUAGAUGAUUUAGGAAAAUGACAAAUCUCAUAUUUAAAAGGUUCCUAUUUAUUUUGCUAAAAACAAAAUCUGAUGGAUGUGCUAGAGGACAAUGCCAUAAGAAUGGCUCAUAGGAUGAUUUGAAACUAGCCUGAAAUCUUCGAGAAACUUGGGAAUCAUUAGAGAAAUAAUAAAGACUAUGCAAAAAAAAAACCCUUCACCAAUCAUCUUCUUGGUUAAUGGAUCCUAAAAUAUAACCUUGUGAUGAGUAAAAAUUACAUCACAAUUGAAUGUAUAAGUUAACUUACUAUCUAAAAGCAAUUAGAAAGGAAAAGAGGGAACAUAUAACAUCAGACAUGAUUUUAUCAAUGAUUAACUUGAUUUUUCCCUUAUCCUUUACAUGAGAACCCUUUCCGUAAGCUACCGAAACAAAGGUAAGAGAAGCAAAUUGUUCAAGAUAAAAAAUAUUACUCAAUUUUUUAGAUAUAUGAUCUGUGGCACCAGAAUCGACAAUCCAAAGAUCAUGCAAAUUAUCAAGUUCUAAUACAGUGGUAAAGGCAAUCAGAAUACCUUGGCUGGUUUUCAGGUCUGCUUCAGCUAGGAAUCUGGUGAGGUGGCUGAGGAGUGUUGUUGGUUGAAUCUACUCUUGUCUAGUAGCUUUGUUUUACGCCUUCUUAUGAGCAUGCUUGUCUUGCAAGUAAUUAGCAAAGUCUUGUAUCAAGGCAACAAGAUUUGUAGUGAAGUUUUGAGUGGUAUGAGUUGCUAGAUUUGACUUAUAAUUAGAUGAUUGUCUCUUAUAUCCUCUGUUGUUACUCAAUUUUGGACCCCACGUGCUGAGAUGGUGUAUACCUGUUUUGAACCGAGUGUAGGAGUGUAGCUCAUGUUUGCUAGAAAAUUGACAAAAGCAGAGAAAUAAAUGUUUUUUUUCGAAACCUUGUUUAAGCUGUUUUUUGCUCUUUUUUAUCCUUCCCCUUUGCUACCAAAAUCGUCAGGUUUUCUUAGGUCGAUCAGGAGUCUUUAUAAUGCUAAAUUCGUUCCUUCUUUAUCUGGUCUUUAAGGUUGGAUAAAUCCCUCAGAAUUUGCAAAAAAAAUGGUUCUGUUGCUGUCGCAAAUUGUUUUCCAACUUAGGCUCUGAUUCUAACUUGGUUUCAUACGAUAUCUGACCAUCCUAGCUAUAUUCUGUCACUCAUGACAUGUUGAAAAAUUGACCUACACCUUUAUUAGGUCCUAGGGAUCAUUGUUCUUAGGGCAGAUUCUCAGUCAGAUUUGGAUGCUCAGCAUUGUUAGAUCAAGAACCUUUUUGACCAACUAGAUUACUGCCAGAUUCUGUUCUCUAAAACAAUUUUAUCUCACUUCGACUCCUUCAUCAAAGUUGUAGUCCUGGACGUGUAGAUAAAUUUGGGCUUUUGAAUUGCUUGAUUUCGAUAUCAGAAGCUCAAGAUAUUCCAGUUUGAAUAUCUAACGUGAAGGCAGAGAUUCUACCGCGAGAAGGAUCCUGGCCCGAGUUUUGCACUAAAAACUCUAUUUCCAUCACAAAUUUUGUUGAUUUGUUCUUAGUUCAUACUUUCAGUCAUAUCGGGAUGCUCGGCAUUGUCAGUUUCUGAAUUAGAUCAGGAGAUCCUUUUUGACCAACCAGAUUACUGCUAGAUUCUGUUCUCUAAAAUGAUUUUAUCUCACUUCGACUCCUUCAUCAAAGUUGUGGUCCUGGACGCGUAGAUAAAUUUGGGCUUUUGAAUCACUUGAUUUUGGUAUCAGAAGCUCAAGAUAUUCCUGUUUUAAUAUCUAGUGUGGAAGCAGAGAUUCCUGCCGCGAGAAUGUUUUUUUUUUUGCUCGGGUUUGCAGGGACACAAUUGCGAAAUGCUUAAAGAUUAAAGACCAAUUGCAGGCCAAUUUGAAUCCUUUUUGGACCAAGGACCAAAUGGAAAAGGUGCUAAAAUAAGGAGGAUGAUUGAAGAUAAAAAAAUAGAAAGGAUUUCUGCCGAAGGAAGACAUUGAAGAAAACACGUUUUUACCUGCACAACUAGCCGUUUUCUUUCUUUCCUUUUUAUCUGAAAUUUCUUGUUUGGUUUCCAUGUUUCUCUCGCUUGAAUGGAGAGCUGCAGACCAUGUUUUUAUUGCCUCAUUUCAAAGGGAGCAUCUGGCCUUAUGGAAGGAAAGAAAGGAGCCACACCAUCCUCUAAAAAACUGGAAAGAAAUCAGACAUGAGCACAAAAUCAAAAUCAGAAUAUGGCAGUUUCCUUUUUGCGUUUUUUUACUGCAAAUCAGUAGGGAUUUGCAUCCUAGAAUUAAUGCAUUAAAUCUUUCCUAAAUAGAGAUAUGUUAGACUAUAUAUAAGCCCCUCUGAUGACCUAGGAAAGGAAAAACAAACGGAAAAAAAAGAAGGGAAGCCAGGCAGAAAAAGAAAGGAGAGAACAGAGAAAAACAGAAAAAGAAAGACAAAAAACGCAAGAGAGGUAGGCAGUUAGGAGAGAAAAAAAGGCAUAGAACAGAGGGAGUUUCUUCCUUCAUCCUUGCGUUGCUGUGAGAUCAGGAAGGCAGGCAGUAGAAGAGAAAGAAGAGAAAAGAAAAGACGAAAAAAAGAGAGGAGAAACAAGGAAGAAGCAGGGACUGACUUUCGGUCUGCAGAAAGAGGAGAAGAAGGUGCAGAAAACCAAAAGAAAGAGAGGAGACCGAAACAGAGAAAGGAGAAAGGAGAAAGGAGUCUCUCUUUGGAUACCAGAGGCGAGAAAGCAGAAGCUCUGUCCAUCAGCUCGCAAGUCAUCUUUGGCAUUCAGAACAAGCGGGGAUUUGCAGACAGUGGAGGACUGAAAGAGCCGGGGUCGCAAGCGGACCAGGUAAGCCGUGUCUCUACUCUCCCAGUUUUUUGCAUUUUGCAUGUUAAGACACUGUGCAUUCUUAGUUUGCAUUUGUUACUGUUCAAGUGAAAUUUAAUUCACUUGAACAGUAACCAGGGAAGGCAAAUUCACUUGAACGUGUAUUAUUUUUUUUUAUUCCCAGCUUUUGCAUGUUUUGAUUUACGUGGGGUGUCCGGGCCAGCUUACGCGCACCACGACUAUUCCCCACGGCCCACUGGACAUCCUGCAAGCCCAGGAGCAGGUAAAGCACCGCGGUGGUGACAGGCGUGCACAUAGAAGGUCGAACCCGGGACGGGGGCGGAACAAGUCACACGAUUGACCACAGCAGCUAGACCCUCAAGUGCUUAUUCCCAGCUUUUGCAUGCAUUCUUUGUUGCAUUUGUUACUGUUCAAGUGAAAUUUAAUUCACUUGAACAGUAACCGGGCAAGGCAUGUGUAUUUAUUUUUUUUUGUGUUUUUUUUGUAUUGUAAAAAUAGAAAUCUCGUAUUUAGAAUACCCGGUUUUCGACGCAAUGCGACAACUAUACAUAUUUAUCAAAAAAUGUUUUCUUGUGUGUUGCAUACAGCCAAUACCCUAACAUGUUUUGAACGCUCUUUUUUAUACAAAAAAUAUUGGAAGUUUAGAAAAUGUGUUUUCGCAUGGAUUUCUUAAAUACAACAAAAAUUAUUUUCUUGCAUUUCUGAAUUUUACAACAUGUUUGUAAAACUCCAAAGGGUAUUAGCCAAUAUUCCAAAAAAUAAAAAAUCUUAUUUUGGGGGGGAUUCAUCUAUUAUUCACCGUUAAUAUUUGGAUGAAGAAAUCUCAAAGGGAUGAAUAUCCAAAAUAUUUAAUGAGAAUAACUUGUUAUUAUUCACUGUUAAUAUUUGGAAAAAAAACCCUAAGUGGUAAAUAUCCAAAAUAAUUUUCUAGGGAUAAUAAGUUAUCACACAUCCUUGAAAGAAGCCUUGAUUAUAAUCGAGGACAUUUCAAUUUUUUUUUGCUCCACGGUUUAAGAGCCGUGAGAGUAUAAAACAUUAAGGCAAAAAUAGGCUUUUAAAGCGCCCUAGAUUUCUAAAUUUUUAUCCCUCCUUGCGAUUUAUGAGUCGCAAACUCUUGAAAUACUAAGGGAAAAAUGAGCUUUUAAAGCACAUGGAAUCUCCUUGGAUUUCUAUCUUAAUAAAUUUAGUUUGAAUCAAACCUAGGAAAACUGAUGGGAUUAGAAAACACCAACGCCAUAGCAAUUAUAAAGCAAACCAAACACCAAGCAGCUUACCUUAGGUAGGGCGUACUAGGGGUGCUAAUACCUUCCCUUUACGCAACCAGUCUCUUGCCUUAGAAUAUCUGAAAGACCAGUUAGGGUUCCUAGUGACCAAAAUACUAGGUGACGACUCCAAAUAACCAACUCCUUUAUUCACAAAAAAACAAAAAAAAACCCCAAAAUCAAUCGAGGGUUGCUGCGCUUCGCCGCGAGGGUGCGACAGGAUGGCGACUCCACUGGGGACCCUUGGACUAAGCUUGGUAAUCAUUUUUUUAUUAUGCUAUGUGUUGUUGUUUUUUGUACUAUGAAUGACACUUUGUUUAAAAGCUUUGGCAUGCAUCUUUAUAUUCUGUCAUACAUGGUGUAGUCAUUCAUCACUUUAUUAUUAUUAUUUUUUUUUGAGAGCACACACAUUAAAUUUUAAGUUAAGUGGGGGACUAGCAGCUUGCCUUAUGACUUGAGUCAAGGUUUAAGUUUGUGUAAACCCCAACUCUUUGCUGAGUGUUUAGACUGAUAGUGAUUGGUACACGUGUCAUCCCACUAUCUGUUAAACCCCCAUAUUGCCUUUACGAGGGUGAUCACUAGGACAGCAAGAGACCUUUUUUAGAGACCAAGUAGUAAACCUACCCUAUGUCUCAUAUAAAGGAACUAGAACCUAUCCUUAAGAUGGAUGCUCCAUAAUAUCGUUUUGCAUCCAAACAAGCCUAAGCUCAAAGCAUCUUGAAUCUCAAGACCUUCAUUCAAAAGCUAGCCAAGGGAGAGAUGUUCCAGAGUUGGGAGACCUAAGAAGCUCCAUUGGUGUUCAAAAUUUAAUCAACAAUGCUUGUUUGAUCAUGAUAUUGUGUUGUUUGCCUUUUUCACCUUUUUAAAUCGAGGUUCCAAAUGUCAAAUUGGAUUUUAUCCUUGUUUUUUUAGCCAAACUUUUCCUUUUAAUGAGAUCAUGCAUUUUCAAAAGUUCAUCUUUAUGUUUUUACUAUGCAUUUACACAUCACUUUCCACUUUUAGAAACCCUGAAAGCUGAUCUUCCAUAACAAACACCUGCACUUUACACCGAGAAUAAAUUGUCAAACUUUAAAGAAUACAACAUUAUGGAAUUCACAAAAUUAAUAAAGCAGCAUGAACAAGCUUGGAAACUCGCUAAAGAGGAACUUGAAACCAUUGAUGUGGGCAAUGAAGAAAUCAAGAGAGAGUUGAAGAUAGGGACUUUGAUUACCCUUAAAGAAAGAGAAAAGUUGAUUACUUCGAGAUUAUAUAGAUGUAUUUGCUUGGUCUUAUGAUGAUAUGUUUGGCUUAGAUACGAAUAUCAUAGUACAUAGGGUACCACUAAUAGAAGGAUGCAAAUCGGUUAAACAAAGGUUGAGAAGGACCAAUAUGAAUGUCUUGAUCAAGGUAAAGACAUAAAUUGAAAAGCAGUGGAACGCCGAUUCUCUAGAAGAAGUCAAAUAUCCAUAUUGGGUGUCCAACAUAAUGGUAGUACCCAAAAAGGAAGAUAAAAUCAGGGUUUGUGUAGACUUUAGGGACUUAAACCGGACUAGCCCUAAAGACAAAUUUCCUCUGUCACACAUAGAUAUGUUAGUUGACAAUGCAGCUCAUAACCCCAUAUAUUCCUUUAUGGACGGGUUUUCGGGCUACAAUAAGAUAAAAAUGGUGCAAGAGGAUAAGGAGAAGAAACCUUUGUAACACUAUGUGGAACCUUUUGCUACAAGGUCAUGUCAUUUGGGCUGAAGAAUGUCAGGGCCACUUACCAAAGGGCCAUGGUGACUCUAUUUCAUGACAUGGAUGAUAUGACUGCUAAAUCUAAAGAGGAAGAGAGUCAUGUCCAAAUAUUGAAGAAAUUACUUGAAAGACUAAAGAAAUAUAAGUUGAGGCUUAACCCCGCAAAGUGUUCAUUCGGGAUGAAAUCUUGGGAAGUUGUUGGGAUUCGUGGUGAGUGAUAAAAGGGAUAGAAGUGGAUCUUGACAAAGUAAAGGCUAUUCAAUCUAUGCUAACUCCCAAGACUGAGAAGGAUGUAAGAAGGUUCUUAGGAAGAUUGAAUUACAUUGCUUGGUUUAUAUCCCAAUUAACCACGACUUGUGACCCAAUCUUGCAUUUGUUAAAGAAUUGUGCUUGGACAACACAAUGAAACAGGAAGGGGAACCUUUUGCUACACAAUGAAACACGACUUGUGGCCCUUUCCUCUAAAAUGAUCUGUAAUGCAAAUAAAAGCAUUGAAUCGACUGAAAGAAGUGCCCCUUCCUUUACUUUAGUGUCUUUUUUGGGACCUAGAUGGCUGGUGGAUAAGGAAAGGGCCAUUUAUUACCUAAGCAAGAAGUUCACGGAAUGCAAGUCUAGGUAUACUAUGAUUGAGAAGCUGUGUUCCGCACUAGCAUGGCCUACAAAAAGAUUGUGUCAAUAUAUGUUGUAUCAUACUACAUGGUUGAUUUCAAAAUUAGACCCAUUAAGGUACAUCUGUGGAAAGCCCUAUCUGUCAAGCCAAAUUACAAUAUGCCAAGUUCUACUAGCUAAGUAUGACAUAGUAUAUAUGACAAGGAAAGCUGUGAAAGGGAGUGUUAUUGUUGAUCACCUAGCUGACCAUGCUAUGGAAGAUUAUGGGCCAUUAAAAUUUGACUUUCCUAAUGAAGAUGUGCCUUCAGUUGAGGAAUGGAAAUUAGAUUGGUGGAUUAUGUACUUUGAUGGUGUUGUAAACGUAUGUGGUAACAGAGCUGGUGCAAUGAUAAUCUCUCCUAAUAAAAAGUAGUAUUCGGUUUUAGUUAAGUUGCAGUUUGGGUGCAAUAACAACAUAGGAGUAUGAAGCUUGCAUUCUCGUUUUAGAGGUGGCAUUGGAGCUGAAUAUUAGAAAGAUAGUUAUGUAUGGAGACUCAAUUUUGAUUAUUUUCCGAGUGAAAGGAAAAUGGCAAACCAAGGACAAGAAGUUGAGACUUUACCAAGAAUACCUAUCUAAAAUUGGCUAGAGAAUUUGAGGAAAUAAAGUUCACCCAUCUAGGAAGGGAAGGAAACCAUUUUGCUAACGCUUUGGUCACGCUAGCUUCUAUGGCUAGAAUAGACUUUGGGCACAAGGUACAGUUGGUAUGCAUUAAUAUAAGAAAUAAUCCAGCUCAUUAUUGCUCAGUUGAAAGAGAAAUAGUUGGAAACCCUUGGUACUAUGAUAUCAAGAAUUUCAUCCAAAACCAAACAUAUCCCAUGGGGGCAUCCAAAAUCAACAAGAGGACUUUGAGGAGGUUGGCAAUGGAUUUCUAUCUUGAUGGGGAAACUUUGAAUAAGAAAUCAUCUGACGGAACUUUGUUGAGAUGUUUGGAUGAUAUGGAGGUAAAAAGUCGUGAAGAAAUUUAUGGAAAGAGAUUUGAUCUGUCAAUAUGGUCCACUAGAAAAGAUUAUAACUAAUAAUGCCCAGAACUUUAAUGGCAAGAUGAUAAUAGAACUCUGCGCUAAAUGGAAAAUCAAGCAUUCCAAUUCCUUACCAUAUAGGCCAAAGAUGAAUGGUGCUGUAGAAGCUGCUAACGAAAAUGUCAAAAAGAUUAUUUAGAAGAUGGUAGUCACCUACAAGGAUUGGCAUAAGAUGUUGCCAUUUGCCCUUCACACGUACCGUACUACAGUCCGAACCUCAAUAAGAGCCACCCCGUAUACUUUGGUAUAUGGAAUGGAGGCGGUGAUGCUUUUAGAAGUGGAAAUCCCCUCAUUGAGAGUAUUGAUAGACUUUGAGCUAGAAGAGGUAGAAUGGGCAAAGGUUAGAUAUGAACAGCUGAAUCUGAUCAGUGAAAAGAGGAUAACCGCAAUCUUUCAUCAUCAACUCUAUCAAAGAAGGAUGGCCAAAGCAUAUGACAAGAAGGUUCGACCUCGAGGAUUCCACGAAGGAGAUCUUGUACUGAAGAAAAUAUUGCCUUUUACCAGGAGAAGAUCAGAGUAAAUGGGCACCAAACAAUGAGGGCCCUUUGGUGGUAAAGAAAGCGUUCUCAGAAGGAGCUUUAUUGUUAUCUAGAAUGGAUGGAGAAGAUCUAGUUAAACCUAUGAAUGCUGACUCUAUAAAGAAAUACUAAGCUUCCCAGUCAAUAAAAGAAAGUUCGGCCAUCAAUUCUCUUUGUAAAGAACCUUUUUUUCAUAAAACAUAUGAUCUCAUAGCAUUUGAAAUCUUUUACUUAAAAGAACUGUUUUUUUAACGCAUGACUAAGGAGAUGACUCCAUCAAUUGGAGAAAACCAAAUCAAAUCUAAACUUGACAUAUUUUUGCACACCACACUGGGGGCAAGAAGUGCACGAAGUGCACAUAGGGAUCCAUAGUGAACCAAAGCCCAAAGGGGUAUCAUCAUAAAAACUUCUAAAAAAGCAUCUUUUAUGAGAAUUGCUAAUUGCAUUGAAAGUUUCAGUUUUCAUGAACAAAACCAAAUCUUUUGAGUUUUCCUUUUAAAAUAAUAAUAAAAGACAAUACUCAAUGGAGCAAGAAAGGGCCUCAUAAGGAACCAAAGAUCUCUUCACCAAGAGGAUAGGAAGUAUACCGCGUGGAGCACAUUCCGUUUCAAGAGGACGAGUCGGACAAACAAAUGGAAACAGGAGCUCAAUAAGUCUACAACAGAAAGGGGGACCUAUGUUUCCAAAAUAGGUAACAAAAAAACAUGUAUGCUAUAUUGUCAUAACACUAACCUGGCAGGAGAAGGUGUGACGAAAGCCAAAAUAGUUCCAAGUUUUUGGGAAAACCGCUGAGGUCCAAAAUCUCAGGUCAACGGAACUACGGAAAAGGAUAGGAAUUAUGAACCAGCACUGCUUCAUUUCCUCGAGGUCACCCGAUAUUGAGACCAUUCCUUAGAAAAGCAUGGAGUUUUCUAUGAAUUUUAAGAGGGGCCGGUCACCUGAUAUUGAAACCGUUUCUUAGAAAAGCGUGGAGUUUUCUAAGAAUUUUAAGAUGGGCCGGUCACCUGAUAUUGAGACCGUCUCUUAGAAAAGCGUGGAGUUUUCUAAGAAUUUUAAGAUGGGCAGACACCCGAUAUUGAGACCGUUUCUUAGAAAAGCAUGGAGUUUUCUAAGAAUUUUAAGAUGGGCAGGUCACCCAAUAUUGAGACCAUUUCUUAGAAAAGCAUCGAGUUUUCUAAGAAUUUUAAGAGGGGCCGGUCACCCGAUAUUGAGACCGUUUCUUAGAAUAGCGUGGAGUUUUCUAAGAAUUUUAGGAUGGGCAGGUCACCCGAUAUUGAGACCCUUUCUUAGAAAAGGGUGGAGUUUUCUAAGAAUUUUAGGAUGGGCCGGUCACCUGAUAUUGAAACCGUUUCUUAAAAAAGCGUGGAGUUUUCUAAGAAUUUUAAGAUGAGCCGGUCACCUGAUAUUGAUACCAUUUCUUAGAAAAGGGUGGAGUUUUCUAAGAAUCUUAAGAUGGGCAGGUUACUCGAUGUUGAGACCGUUUCUUAGAAAAGCGUGGAGUUUUCUAAGAAUUUUAAGAUGGGCAGGUCACCCGAUAUUGAGACCAUUUCUUAGAAAAGCGUGGAGUUUUCUAAGAAUUUUAGGAUGGGCCGGUCACCUGAUAUUGAAACCGUUUCUUAGAAAAGCGUGGAGUUUUCUAAGAAUUUUAAGAUGAGCCGGUCACCUGAUAUUGAUACCAUUUCUUAGAAAAGCGUGGAGUUUUCUAAGAAUCUUAAGAUGGGCAGGUUACUUGAUGUUGAGACUGUUUCUUAGAAAAGCAUGGAGUUUUCUAAGAAUUUUAAGAGGGGCCGGUUACCUGAUAUUGAAACCGUUUCUUAGAAAAGCAUGGAAAAGCGUGGAGUUUUCUAAGAAUCUUAAGAUGGGCAGGCACCUGAUAUUGAGACCGUUUCGUAGAAAAGCGUGUAGUUUUCUAAGAAUUUUAAGAUGGGCAGCCACCCGAUAUUGAGACUGUUUCUUAGAAAAGCACGGAGUUUUCUAAGAAUUUUAAGAUGGGCAGGUCACCCGAUAUUGAGACCAUUUCUUAGAGAAGCAUGGAGUUUUCUAAGAAUUUUAAGAGGGGCCGGUCACCCGAUAUUGAGACUGUUUCUUGGAAAAGUGUGGAGUUUUCUAAAAAUUUUAAGAUGGGCAGGUCACCCGAUAUUGAGACCAUUUCUUAGUAAAGCGUAGAGUUUUCUAAGAAUUUUAGGAUGAGCAGGUCCCCCGAUAAUUGGACCAUUUCUAAAAAUAAAAAACAUGGAGUUUUUCUAGAUAGGCAGGUCACCUGAUUGGGAAACCAUUAUUUAGGAAAAGCACUGAGUUUUAGCAUGAUCAGACAAUUUAUCUUUACAACACUUACUACGCGAAGCACUUGACAAGUUUUGCUUCGUAAGCAUUGUAAAGAGGGGGCAUCUGUUGUUACUCAAUUUUGGACCCCGUGUACUGGAGAUGGUGUAUACCCGUUUUGAACCGAGUGUAGGAGUGUAGCUCAUGUUUGCUAGAAAAUUGACAAAAGUAGAGAGAAAUUUUUUUUUUCAAAACCUUGUUUGAGUUGUUUUAUGCUCUUUUUUAAUCCUUCCCCUUUGCUACCAAAAUCGUCAGGUUUUCUUAGGUCGAUCAGGAGUCUUCAUAAUGCUAAAUUCGUUCCUUCUUUAUCUGGUCUUUAAGGUUGGAUAAAUCCCUCAGAAUUUGCAAACAAAAUGGUUUUGCUGCUGUCGCAAUUUUUUUUCCAACUUAGGCUCUAAUUCUAACUUGGUUUUGUACGAUAUCUGACCAUCCUAGCUAUAUUCUGUCACUCAUGACAUGUUGAAAAAUUGACCUACACCUUUAUUAGGUCCUAGGGAUCAUUGUUCUUAGGGCAGAUUCUCAGUCAGAUUUGGAUGCUCAACAUUAUUAGAUCAAGAACCUUUUUGACCAACUAGAUUACUGACAGAUUUUGUUCUCUAAAACAAUUUUAUCUCACUUCGACUCCUUCAUCAAAGUUGUAGUCCUGGACGUGUAGAUAAAUUUGGGCUUUUGAACCCUUGGUACUAUAAUAAAUUUAGUUUGAAUCAAACCUAGGAAAACUGAUGGGAUUAGAAAACACCAAUGCCAUAGCAAUUAUAAAGCAAACCAAACACCAAGCAGCUUACCUUAGGUAGGGCGUACUAGGGAUGCUAAUACCUUCCCUUUACGCAACCAGUCCCUUGCCUUAGAAUCUCUAAAAGACCAGUUAGGAUUCCUAGUGACCAAAAUACUAGGUGGCGACUUCAAAGAAUCAACUCCUUUAUUCAUAAAAAAACAAAAAAAACCCCGAAAUCAAUCGAGGGUUGCCGCGACGCCGUGCUCCGCUGUGAGGGUGCGACAUCCUCACUGCUCAGCAAAUCUGGGUUUAAUUUCUAGAUAAAGUUGCCAACAGCGGUCUAUCAGGUGUCCAAUGUUAUAACAAUAGCUGCACUUCAGGUCUAAUCAUUUCCUUUUGAAUGUUCUUUCAUUAAUUACUUGUCAUGGUAGAGCAUGAUAAUCAGACAUACCAGAAUUCUCACUACGAGACAUUGCUUUGGCAUGAUAAACACGAGCAUUAGCAGCUCUAGAAUUAGUAUCACAGCUCAUCACCUUCCUGCGAAUCUCUUCAAGCUGGAUCGUUGUACAUACAGAUUUCAAAGAAGGUAGUUCUAAAUUCAUUAAAAUAUGACUCCGCAUGUCUUUAAAAUCAGGACUGAGGCUUGCCAGAAGUUGAAAAAUUCAGUCUUAUUUUGUUCUUUUUUGUAGGACAGUAGCAUCAAUAGUGUGAGGGUGAUACAUCUCUAGUUCAUUCCACAAGCUUUUCAGAAUUCCCAAUAGCUGAACAAAGGGUCCAUCAUUCUAAUGAAGAUUUGCAAUUUCGCGAUGAAUCUGAAAUAUUCGAGCAACAUUGUUUUAGAUAACCAAGCCUCAUAUUCUAGGGCAUCCAUGUCUGGAAAAAGUGUUGAACCAUUGAUGAAUCCUAGCUUUGAUCUUCCACCAAGGGUGAUAGUGAAAGCCCUUUAACAAAGGGAAAUAGUUGAAUUCAUUUAGCAAUAUUGAACUCAACCUUUGAGAGGUAUUGGUAUUGUAAACCCCGAGGAUAAACUUUUACCAAAACAAAAAGAGCUUUAAAUUAACCCCAUGAUGAAGAAGGUGAGGUUAAAUGUAUGGAAAAACCAAAUAAAUUCAAACAUUAAGAAAGGAUUUUAAAAGAUAAAAAGGAGUACCACUCAAAUUGUAAAAAAGAAGAAAAAAUGUGGCCAAAGUGUAAUUAAAACGGAUGGGACUAUAAAUUCCUCAUUCUCUCAUCCACGAGGCUGGCAGCAAGGAGACAAAUAUGAGGGGGAGAAUUUCAAAUUUCUUCCACCAAAAUUUGAGAGAAAACACCAAAAUUGUUAAGUCUAUACAAGCUCUAGAUUACUAGGUAGAGAAAACAUCCUUUGGGAAAGGAAUUAACAAGAAAACAAGUGAAGAAAUUGUGAGGGAAAGAGAGGGAGAGGGUCAGUUACAUACAAGGAAGGAGGAGUAAAAAAUAUUCAACCAAUUUAGAAUUGAAAUCCAAAUUUCCUCCAGUUAAGGAGCCCUAUACCUAAUUGUGAAAACCAAUUUAAAUUCAAUUAGGAAUUGUGCACCAAUCUUGAAAUUGAAAAUUAGGGUUCUUAAAAGAAAUUUGAGGGAUUUGUAGAAAUUGUUGAAAUUGAGUUAAUUGAAGUAUUAUAAGAUACCUUAAACAUGAAAUCAUGUAAAAAUACCAAAGAAAAAUCAAUGGCGAAAGGAACAAGAGUGGCCAACCAUUUGGGGGUUAAAUGGGAGGAAAAGAAAUUUUGAUUCACUUGAUAAAGUCUUUGUGAUAUGUUGUUAUAAUGUGAACAAUGAUUGAAUAAGAUAAAUAAUUGCAUGAGAAAGAGAAAGGAACCCUCGAUUCCCUUAUGCCAAGUUUCGGCCAAGGCUAAAUUGAGAAGGGGGAGGGGGGUUUUGAGAUUUUAUAUGUUAAUGAAGAGUGAAUUAGGUGUGGUAUGAAGUUUAUUAAUAGGAGAAGCAUGAUAACUUGAUAGUGGGGAACUUUGUAGAUCGAAUGCAUGUGUUAUGUGAGGUAAAAACGAGUUUAUUGGCCAUAUGUAUAGCUUAUGGCUUGUCUUGGGAGGAGUUGCGAAAUGUAGGAGAAACAUGGAAUUCAAGGAUGUGGAUGUUUCUUGAAAUAGUUCUUGACCACCUUACACAAAAAGGGCAAAUUAGCUUAAACGACCCUUUGGAGGUCAUAUUUAGAAAGGUUAUCAUACAUAUAACAUAGAAAUAGUUGUCUUAAGAGAAGAGGGAGAAAUGAGGAUAAUUGAAGGUUCAUUUAAACCAUUGAUGAAAACUGGACAGAUUCGUCACCCUAAUUCCAAAGAGAAUUCGGGCCUAAAAAUGAUAAAGUUUGGGAAAAUUUUCUUGAUUUAAGUUAUAGCCAAGGAUGUUAGCUUUCCAAUGCGCCGACCUUGAUUAAUUUGGAGCUCUAAAACUCUAGAUAUAGAUAAAUAUCUGAGGAGAGGUCAAGCUACAACCUCAGCUGGCAAUUUCAACAAGUUGUCAAAACGGGAAAUUUAGUCAUAUUAGAGGCAGAAUCAGGUUCCCUUCCCUCGGAAAAUGUGUAGUGCCAUGUCUUGGUGUUCGAAAGGAAAUAAGCCAUAUUUGAAACUGAAUUUUUGAUGUUAAUUAUGAUUUGAUAAUGAACCGUAAUCUUAAGGGAUGUAAUAGAAAAGCAAAUGAAAAGGAAGCAAUUGUUAAAAUGGAAUCAAUAUUGUUGUUGUUGUUGUUGUUGUUGUUGUGUGAAAUGUAACUUGAGUAAGAAAUAAUGUGGUAUGCCUGUGGAUUUAGAAGGGACGGCGGGAGGGGCACAAUAGCAGCAAGGGAGCGUGAGCCGAGCUUCUAUAGCAAAUAGGUUUCCUAUACCUAUACCCUUCUUAAAAUUUUGUAACCUUCGAAAUUUGUUUAAUUCUUGGAUUAUAUACAUAUUGAUGUUGCCAAAAAGAGAAUCGAUCAGAUGAAAUAAAUGAGAAAUGAAAACAGACUUGACUAAUUGGUUUGGUUAGGAAUAGUGAACUAUAUUAGUGAACUUCAUUGAUAAUCGCUUCUUGAAUCUAAUUAGCCGGUCCCGAGUAUGGGAGGCUAAUGAUGUUAGUAAGGUUUACUAACAUCGGCAUGACCAUCCUAGAGAAUGAGAGAUACUAAACUUGAUUAACUAUUCGGUUUAAGAAUAGUUAAUGAUAUCGAUGGGUGACGUCGAUAUCAGUAAUCCCAUAAAACUUGAUUAGCUAUUCCUGAUGUGAAAGCUAAUGAUGUCAAGAAUCCUUGACAUCGGCAUUCCCAAAGAUAUUCCAAAGUGUUAUGGAAAAUUGAUUAACUAUUUCGGGUUAGAAAUAGUUAAUGACAUCAAUAGGUGACAUUGAUAUCAACAUUUACAACAAACUUGAUGAGUCAGAUCUGGUAAGGGCGACUAAUGAUACUAAUGAGAAUCAUUAGUGUCGGCAUUACCAUCCUAAUGUUUUGGAAAGAAGUGGUUUGAUUAGUAAUCUCGGUAGAGAUUGGCUGAUGAUGAUAUCAGUGAAAUGGGUAUCGCUAUUUUUUAAAGAAUUGUUCCUUCAGCAUUAACAUAUGAUAUUAGUUGAAAUUUGGGAGGAAAAGGGGAAAUGUUUAGUGAUCCCCGAAGGGAUAAAUCUAGAAGCAUUAAAAAGAGACUAGAUGGGAAAUUGUAAAAAAUAUUUAUGAUAGGACGUAGCCUUGAAUAUUAUAUAUUGCUUAUUCUGUUUAACAUACUUGUCUCAAGAAAGAAGCUGUUGCAUUUGUCUCUCCAAAGCUAUUAUUGAUUGAUUAAUUCCUGCUGCCACCACCAUCUUCACUACCAUUACUAUUAUGCAUCGAUCUUCUCCAACUUACUAAUGUUAUUAAAUUCUUUCCCAGUUGGCAGAAAAUAAGUGAUCCUAAAAGUAUUGCAGAGAUAUUUAAACAUGUUUACACAGAUCAUUAUACAAAUAUCGACAAAGUGUUUUCUCGUAUUCUUGAGAUUACACAACAUCCUGCUGCUGCUGCAUCAUUUGCCUCGAUUAUGUUUGCUCCUCAGGGACCGCUAUCCUUCAGGGUAACUUUAGCCAGGCAGGCACUGCAUAACUCUUAUCUGCUCUUGAUAAGUCGCUCAUAUUCUUUCCUUUUUCUUGCUCCAACUGAAAGGCUCGUAGCUUAUUUGUGUUUCUAGGUGUAAAAUGAGCAAUUUUCCCAUUUGUCUCAUGUAUGGAAAAGAGGACCCCUGGGUGAAGCCUGUCUGGGGCCUUCAGGUGAAACAGCAAGUGCCUGAAGCUCCGUAUUAUGAGGUUAGCCCAGCUGGUCACUGUCCUCAUGAUGAAGUUCCUGAGGUAUGCAGCUCAUUGCUUAUUAGCUUAAUGGCACUUUCUGUUGCCCAUCCCGUAGUUCAUGCUGUGAAGAUGGUGUUCAGGCUUAUAUUUGUGUGCGUAAAGAAAAGCUUUUUUCUAGGCAUCUCUGGCACGAGCUGAGCUAGAGUAGACAACUGUCGGAAGACAUUAUGCGAUGAUGUUCUGGAAAUAAAUACGUUUUUCUGAUGGGAAGUAGAAAACUCGAACAGGGGAAGAAUAGUUGUUGAAACUUCAAUGUCCAUACUAAUCCAGUGGGGAUAAUUUACAAGAAUCUUGCUGUUAUGAAUCAAUUUGAUACUACAAGUAACAUUUACAUGUAUAGGUUAAUGUUCUUUUUUAUGCAAGAAUCUUGCUGUUAUGAAUCAAUUUAAUACUACGUUUUCUAGGAUUAGUUAAUGCAAUAAAAUCCUUUCUGCAAGGGGAUAAUGAAAUUUUAAGGCAUCCUAGAAUCAUCAAGUUUUUUACUAUUUUCUUUUUCUACUUUAUUUAUUUAUUUAUUUAUUUAUUUUCAAUUUUCAAGAACAUGGCUUCUCUAAUGGCCCCUUUUAUUGUUAAAUACCUUAUACAACGCAUGAAAUUGAAAAUGAAGAUUUCGUCCCACUAAAAACAAAUGAAAAUUAAAUAAAAUAAGGAUUUUUAUAAAAUGGUAAAAGAGAAUUUCUUGACAAGGUGUGUAUAAUUUAAAAUUUUAAUUAUUAAGAUUCAAACUUUAAGAAUUAAAAAAUCAUUUUUUAUACAAAUUUUCUCAUCAAAACAUAACUUAAUUUCUUUAAUUGAAAUUUUUUUAAAUGCACAAAAACUAGUUUAAUAAUACACUAAUAAUGAAACUCAUAUAAAUAAAUAAAUAAACUAACAGGGUCAGUUAAACAUUGUAUAUUAUAUUUGCUUUUACUGUGGAUUCAAGUAGUGUAAUAAUAAUUUUAGCUUUCUGAAAAAGAAAAAAAAAGCUUAUAAUUAGUGUGAAAUUAUCUUUUUUUUAAAGGAUUAAUUGGGCAUUACAAAGCUUGGGGAUAAAUUAGUUUAUAUUUUUUUUUUUGCAUAAUAAAAUUACUUUAUUGUCUUUAAAAACAAAAAUAAAUGUAUGCCUUUGGUCCCAAGGUUUUUAUGUCUUUUAAAUAUUAUUUGCAUAGUAAAAUUAUGUUGAUACCUUAACAGCAAAGAACAAUUAAACUUGCAUAAAAAGAUGUUUUUUUCUUUUUAUUUUUAUGAACAUUUAAGUUACAUAAUUACCCUUAAAUUCAAACAAAUUGUUCCAACGGCAUUUCAUGUUUUCCUUUCUUCUUCUUUUUUGUUAUUUUUGGCUCUGAGAUAAGGGUUUUUUGGUAAUUUUUAAAAAUAUUGUAAUAUUAUUAUAAAACAAAGUUGUUGAUGCAUGACAACUCCGUAACACAUGUGGAGCCGUUUGAUUACCAAAAUCAAUUGUACACAAUGACAUUUGGAGUGACAUUUUGUUCUCUUCGCAAUAGAGAGUUACAUCUUCACAAUAGAGGUGUGUGUUUAGGCUCUAGUGAUUUUUUCUCUCUUUCUUCUAAUCUAGAAAUUCAUGUCAUCUCUUUCAAAAAUUAAUUGUGUCGUUCAAUUUUUAUUUCUAUUGAUUUUGGUCAUUAUUCUUUUUUAUUACUAUUUGUUUUUCUUUUAGUACUUUUUUUGUUUAAAUUGUUUUCAAUUUCAUUUCUAGACAUUAUAUUUCAUUUGGUUUUUUUAUCCAAUUUGAUCAUCAUUCUUUUAAUUGCUUAUUUUUUCAUGCUUUACCUUUUUCAACUUCAUCCCUCGUCAUUUUAUUUCAUUUAGUUUGUUUAUCCAAUUUUGGUCCUUAUAUUUUGGAUUGAUAUUUUCUUAAUUUAUUUUUUAAAAACUAAUCUCUAAUUAUUUUGUUUCAUAUGGUUUUUACAUCAAAUUUGGUCUUUAUUGUUUUGAUUACUAUUUGUUUUGUUUUUAAUUUUUUUUUAUGAUUGGAAAUUUUACUUCGUAAUUUUUUCAUGUCUGUCUUUCGAUAGGGAAAUCUCAGUGUCAAGACUCGGGUCACUAGUUUUGAAUAUUAUCCUAGUUUAAGUUGGAUCUUUUUUUUAGAUCAUUUACUAAUUACUUUUCAAUUUCAUCAUUCGAUAUUAGAUUAUUAGGUCUUGAGCUUUGUUAGUUGUUUCACUUUUCUUUUUGUUAGUUUAUCCUAAUUUUAUAUAUCAGGUAGUGGGUUAGUCGAGUUAACUUAGGUAGACUUAAAUUAUUUUCUCGAUGUUUUUUUAUGAAAUUAAUUUUUUUUGUUCAAUUUUAUUAUUUGGAAUUAAAUUAUUGACUAUUGAGCUUUGUGAUUUUAUUUUUUUUGUGGUGUCAUCCUGAGCUUGAGUUAGUCAAGUUAACCCAAGUUAACUUCUUUUUUUAUGUUUUUUUUAGCUUUGAUUUUUUUGCUAGGUCCUUUUUUAAAAAAUCUAUUUUUUAUUCUGAUCUUAUGUUGCAGGUAGCUGGUUGAUCAAGUUAAUUCGUAUUGACUUGAGUGUUUUUUUAAUGUUGCUUUUUAAAAAAAAUUAAUUUUUUUUUAAUUUCAUUAUUUGACAUUAGAUUAUUGAGCCUUAAAUUUUAUGAUUUUAUUUUUUAUUUUUUUAUAAGAUUAUAUUAAUCUCAUAUCUUGAAUCACGUAUUAUUCAAGUUAAUUCAUGUUAAUCGAGUUGUCAUCUUCUAAAUAUUUUUUUAUGUUAUGAAAAGACUAAUCUAGUCCACAGUAUAGCAUGUAUAAUCUAUCAAAUAAAAUAUCAAAUAUCAAAUAAAAUAAGUAAGUAAGUAAAUAAGGGUACAACGUUAGUAGCAAUUUUUUUAAAGAAAAAAAAUUAUUUAGGGAUGAAGCCAGUAAAGCAGCACCUAUGGUCCAUAACGGUUGGUCCGUUGGUCAGCCAAGAUUACAGAGCAAUAAACAAGAUUACAAGACCGAAUACGUUUCCGUAACAUAACGGUCGGUCCGUUGGUCAACCAAAUCCAUCCUAUCGGACCAGAUGACGAGGUUGCUGUCUCAGACGUUCCGGUCUGUAAAACUUAAAGCAUCCUCAUCAAAACCACCACCACCACAACAACAACAACCAUCCUCAUCCUCAUCAUUGCCCCGAUCAAGAAAAACACGAGCAAAAUCGAGCUCAAAUUCGAAAUCGAGAUCAUGGUCUGUGUAUCUUAUUCUCUCUACCAACCACCCGAUCAAGACUUACGUUGGUGUCACCACCAAUUUCUCUCGCCGGUGCGUUUAUUUCUUUGAUUCAAUUCUUAUUUUCUGAAAUUCAAUGCAAAUGCUUAUCUGGGUCAAUUUCAAUUUGUCUCUUACAAAUUGAAGGGGUGACGAAUCAUUUCACGACUUGAAUAAGUAAAUAAAAUAGUUCUCUAAUCAUGUCUGCAAUGGCAAGUUUGAUAACAUGCUAGUUAAUUUGGUAAUUGCUGAUGCCUUUCAACCAGAUGUAUUGACUUUUGUAUUGAGCACGGUCUCCGAUUGCCUCACCUGUGAAUUUCACAAAUGUGUUGUGUUAUUCUUGCUCAAGUAUGUGCAAUAUAGAAAUGAACGAAUGCAUACUUGUUGAACUUGGCGCUUUUUAAUGCAGCUUGAAACAACAUAAUGGCGAGCUUAAAGGAGGUGCAAAAGCAUCCCGUGCAGGAAGGCCGUGGAUUUGUGCAUGCAUAAUUCGCGGUUUUAAUGACCGAAGUGAAGGUAAUUUUCUUCUUUGUACCACUUUCACAAAUGCCAAUGAGAGUUAUUUUCAUACUCCUGUUCUUGAUUUUUCUUCUUGAUGUUUUGAUUUGUGGCAUGAAUUUGUUUAGUCUAUUGAUUUUUCUUCCUUUUAUUUUCUAUUUUGUAGCUUGCAAGUUUGAAUCAAAAUGGAAAAGCUUUUCAAGGAAAUUUCCUCGAAAAAGGAUAGAUGAUGACCAGAUGAAGCAGAGCAGGAAGGACUCGCACCGACUCCUGCAACAUAGGAAGACUGCCCUCGAUAGGGUUAAAGGUUCAUUUGAUCUUAGUCACUUAGAAAUUGACUGGAAAUUGAAUACUUUCUGAUUUUGAUAAUAUGCAAUCACGUUGGACACAUUUUAAGUUAUAUUGCAUUCUUUGAGCGACACUAUUGCAUAUCACUCCUACCAUGAUUUGAUCAUUGUAUAUUUACACUUGACACAAUUCAAUAUAUUCUUUUCAUUGUAUUCACAAUAUCUUCCUUCAAUGUGACUCCAAUUAAGCAGUAUUUCAAAGUAAUACAACCAUUUAUAGUCCAAAUACUGACAAGGUUACCUUGAGACUUCACAGCAUUUCAAAUUCAUGUGGUCUGCUAAUGGAACACAUUUGAGAUUAUCUAUCACCUUCCAUAAUCUGUAUGAAUGACUUGAUCCGGUUGCUAGCAAUCUGAAAAAUAAAUCUGCAUUGUUCCCUCUUAUGAAGAGUCAGAGGGAACUUCCAAGCAUAAGGAUCCAGAAAUUGGAGUAUGUCAGUGUGCAUGAAGUUACUGGAAAGGUAAUUAGCUAAUGGCAUGUCUCAGUUACUAUCCUGUGCAGACAAGCUGUCUAUCUGAGUCCCAUCUGCCUCAAAGUUGUCAGUUUGUUGCAUCCUUCUAUCGCCAGCAGCUAAACUGCUCAAGUGCUUCCAAUGACCAUACAACUCCUUCACUGCAGCAAGCCAGCCUGAAACUCCUAAACAAUGUGAAGGAGGCAAGGGAGGAGAGAUUAGUCAUACGUCUGAGAAUCAUCUGAUUACACUUCUAUGUGAAGUUUAUGAAAAGACGGAGAGGGGAUAGUCUUAUUCGAAUCUCUUAACUGUGGACAAGCAGAAAUGUAAAGAUCUUCGGACAAGUUUUCUAACAAAAGCUUAUGGAGACAAGAAAAACUUAUCACGAGAAGUCCAGACUUCUCAAUCCAACACGUUCCUGAACGGUAGAGUUUCUAGAGAUUGGAAAGGCUUGAAAGGAGAACCAGGCCCAUAAAACUUAUUACCCACAGAUAGAACUCUAUCUGCGCCUCUAUGAUCAAGUGUCUGAGUGUGGAUAAUUGACGCAGUGAAUGGAAACAAUGUGCAUUAUCUACAACAACGGAUAUCCAGCCUUAUUAGACUUGGGAUCGAUUACCAGUACAAGAUGGUAAUUCUAUACCACCAUAUAACGCAAGUGUGAGCUUUUACAGAUUUUAAGAGUUUGCAACAAUAAGAUGAUAAGAUUUUCUUCCUUUUAUUUGGGUGUGCAGCAGAAUCCAGCAGUCCAUUGCAUAUCUAUCUUAUUAAUGCCAUGCUUAGUUUCCAAACUGGCUACUCUUGCAUCUUCAGUGCGCGCCAUAAAAUAUUUGAAGUUGUUGAAUUGAAAGUUGUCCAUGAAGAUGCACCUAUUCUCUUAACUCCCCUAGUCUGAGCCCAUCUCCAACAUAAAACUUGCCUCCCCUUCGGAGACGCGUCAAAUCCUCUGACAAUAGGAUUCGUGUUGUUUACCGGCUUUCAGCUGUUCUUCUCUUCAUAAUAAUUUUUUACAUGCCUUCUUUCUUUCGUUUUUAUCAUACUUUACAUGUUUUUUUCUGAUAAAAAAAAUGCGUUUGCUUUCUAAAAGUAAACUCGCUUCUUUUUUUAAAGUUAACAUUCGAGUUCAACUCCAAGCCUACUUACUACCAACCAUGUGGGGAUUGGAAGCCAAUUCUGUCUUGUACCAGUGUACUUCUUACCUUUUUUCCAAACCUUUUUUCUCUCAUGCCAGCCUUCAACCCCCUGGCCUAUAACAUGAUAAUCAAAUUCAUAUCUGAAGGUAGACGGAAUUGGGAAAUUCAUCAAUUUUAAACAUCAACGUCUUUUCUCACUUCAGUGACUAAUGAAAUAGAUUGUUCCCCCCCUCCCCUUCUGAAAAAUAUAAGCAAGACAAGAAAGAAGAGAACAUUGAAACGAGACACAUUGAAGAGUCUACCCCUGUGUACUAAUUUCCUCAAUUACAACUCUCAGAGGGUUCUGAAAAUUUUCAGUCAAUACAGUACAAUCAAUUAAUGGAGGAGUAGAACACUCAAUCCUCAAUUGUAAUGGGGAAUACGAACCAAAUAAUCAGCAAGUCUUUGACUCUAGCUCCGUCCCUAGGAAUGCCAUUAAAGCAGCCAGCUCCACAUACGCCUUUUCAAAAGCUUUACACCGAUCCAACGAGGGCAAGAACAGCUGAAAGCCGGUAAACAACACGAAUCCUAUUGUCAGAGGCCCUGAUACCAGCCGUGGCAAUUGCCAUCGGCCACCAAAUCGCUUCUUUAAAGCAAUCUCAGUUAAUAGACACACUCCAUGGAGGAGAAAGAAGCAUGUGAGCUCCCAUGGGGACCUCUGAUCACACCCCACAUAGUAGAAAAGGAUCAGCUCGUGCAUGAGUCCUGACACAAGAAAUGUCCCCAUGAAGGCAGGAAUUAGUGCCCACUUUCUGCCAACAACUAGUGAAGCAAGAUUGCGUGUUGGUUUGUACACGGCAGGUCGUAAAAUAUUUGAAACAAUGAGAUUCCAUCUUCUACCCCAUAAAUCUUGUAAUGAGGUUGAGAGGUAUGGCUUAUGGAUGCCAGACACAAGGCUUAUGGGCACGGGACCCAAGUCUCUUGGGUCUGGCAUGGCUGCAGACCCCAGGUACUUGGGUCUGGGAUGGCCGCCAGACCCAAGUUGCAUGGGUCUGGUAUGGCCGCCAGAUCCAAGGUACUUAAAAUAUUCUCUAUACUUUUAAUAUUUUUUUUACAUUUAAAAAAAAAUUGAUAUUGACCCGUUGCGGAGCACGAGCCAAUAUACUAUUAUAUAAGAAAAAAAGUGAGAAGACAUGUUAUCCUUGUUGGAGGGCGUGUUGUCUACUACAAUUGUUUCAUCAAAACUAUGUGGGUGUUUAAGAAUAUGGUUGUAGUUACUUUUUAAAGUAUCGUUUCAUUCAGAAAUGUAUUAAAAUAAUAUAUAUAUAUCUUUUCAAAAAAGAUUUUUAUGCUGCCUAUAAUUCUAUAAAAUGAAUUUGGUUUUUUCAACACUUUCUCCAACAAAGAAGUGAGAUGCAAAAACAAUUUUAUAAUUUCAUUGAGUUACAUAAAGUACAAAUUCUAUUCUUUGAUUGGUUCGAAUUGCAUUAUAUAUCUGAACAUCACAUUUCAUAUCCUUUUGCAUCCAUCAAACUUGCAUGCCCGGUCACAUCAAGAUCCAAAACCCCUAUAUGGAACCUCACCAGUGGACCAACAGUUGACUCUGAACAUCCACCCUUGAGAAAUAUCCAAAUAACCCACAACAACCAGACUGUAGAUGCAGCUCCCUACAAAUUACCCAGUGAUGACACCUUUUCAAAUACCAAACACAUUAUCAACCAAAAUAACUUUACAAACACCAACCUCAAUACCUUAGGCAAAUAGCUUACCCGACUGGAAAAACAAAUACAAAGAACUACUAUCAGCUUAGUUGACACCAAAACCUCAAUUGACCUGAAACUAAAAAACUAGCAGAUCUUAAGACCUUCUUUUUGGGUGAAGCUCACAAGUUCACUGUAUGUAAGCUGGUCAUAUGGUAUGAUUUUGGCUGUAAAGGUAUCUUUGAUUUUGUUUCUGACCUUUUCUCCUAAGAGAAUAGGUAAGCCUGCAAGGAAUUUUACUUUCCAAAAAGGUUGGUUUGAAUCUUCCCUAAGCAUGACACGGGUAAGGAAGGCGUUUUUAUACCAUUAAAAGUCGCUUAGCUUCUUACAUCUAAGGUUGGAAAGGAGUUCAUCAAAUAAUACAAAACACAACAUAGUACGUGGCGUUGUUAUACCUAAGAAUGAUCUUUAGAUCGAGUCACAGGUUUCCAGCCUAUAUACUGAGUUUGUAGAGAAAGAAGAAAAGAAAACAGGUAACUUUCUGAUGCAAAUGAACAAGGCAAGACCAGCAAUGUCAGGAUCCUUGAUCAAACACAAAGCAUACUUAAUUUGCAAUUAAAGAAAGAUAAAGAAUAUAUGUAAAGAUUCAGAAGUUCAAAGAAAUAAACCUUGAAAUUUGUAUUGAUACAAAGGAUAUGAUAAUUUGCAGGAGAUAUGAGUUACAAUUUUGGGAAUUGGUACAAGAAGGAUAAGAAUUACAGAGGAAUAAUAUGAUUCGUCUGCAGAGAAACUAGAUAUGGAUCAAUCUUGUUCUUUGUUAUCUUGGACUUGUUUAAGAAUCCCACCAUAUCCUAGGUCUGAGGCAUCGGUCUCGACGAUCUUAGGAGCUAACGGGUUAGCCAAAUGGAGGAGAGGAAUGGUUUGGACCUGUUUCUUGAUCUAUUUGACGAGGUUGGUAUGGAGGUCAGACCAAGGAAUCGGGUUGGUUUUUAACCUAUCAUGUAAAGGUUUGGCAAGAUGACUAAUGUUUGGAUAAUAGUCUAAAACAUAAUUAAGACUGCCUAAAAACCUUUGCAACUGGUUUUUAUCAGUAAUCUUAUCAUGGAAUUUAUUUGUAAAAGAUAAAGAUCUCUCUAUGGGUGUUAUAGUACCUUGACAGAUAUAAUAUCCUAGGAAAUGAACACGGGUUUGAAAUAGAGAAAUUUUGGAUUUAGAAACAACUAAACCAUUUUGUUUUGCAGUAUGAAAGAAUGUAUGUAGAUGUUUGAAAUGUUGAUUUAUGGAAUGAGAAAAAUUAAGAACAUCAUCAAUGUAAACAAUGCAGAAUUUUGAAUGUGCAUUGAAAAUGUCAAUGUGUUGUAAAACCAAUAGAUACACCACCUAUGAAGAGAAUUUCAUCUCUAAUUUACAGUUAGAGAUGAACUGUCAAUAUGUUGUAAGUGUGUUUCAGCUCAUCUAUUUAUGUCACUAUUCCAAAAGUAAAUGGUGGGAUUUCUUUGCAGCUGAAUCCAAAAGUUUCAAAUUAGCUGUUACAGAAUGGUUACAAAAGAAUCAAACAGCUCCCAUCAUUGAUCAUCAUCCUCAAUCCAAAUUUCUAGCCCUAAAAGCUCAAACGGCAGCUCUCCUUGCCUCCGCUAGAACUGAGGAAGAAUACCUCCAAAUAGUACAAGACAUUAUACAAAGCCAAGACCGUAAAACAGUCUUGUCUCAAUCCAGAAGCCGAAUUUCAUAUCAAAUUUGGAAAAGAUAAAUGCAUAAUGUAAUUUUUGCAAUAAAUUUUUUUUGUUUGGAAUUGGAUACCUAAUCCAUUUUAAAGCAGAAUUUAAAGGUUUGUAAUUGAUCACAAGUCUUGGUGUGCCUCUUUCAAUCUCAGAGUUUUUAUUUACAUAAAAGGCUGCACACGACCAAGGUGAUCGCGACUUUUGGAUAAGACCUUUAGACUUGAGAUCUUGGAUUUCAAGUCUACAAUGUUGUUCUAAAUCAGCAUUCAUCUGUAUAGGUCUUGCUUUUGUAGGUAUGUGUUUUUAUGAAAAAGUAUCUUCAUAAGGAAGAUCAAUAAUGUGUUGUUUUCUUUUCUAGAAAGCAUUGGGUAAGUCUGAACAGAUUUGUUGUUCAAUCUUACUUUGUAAAUCAGUGAUUUUCUUUUGUAAAACAGAUCACUUUUGUAAUUGUUUCUCAAUGUGACAAAAGGAAACAUGGUUUUGUAAAUAAUGCAAUUGGAAUUGUUUACUAUGAAUUAAUGCGUUUAUAUGAUAUGUAUGGAUAGAGCAUGCUUUGAUCAAAUUUAAAUUCCUAGUCUUAGAUUUUUCUAGAAAUGGGAAAACAAGUUUGAUGCUUUUGAUUUUGGAGGUAAUGCAGUCAUGAUGUGCUUUGUAUGGAGUAAUCAUAUCAAUAAAUAGAGUACCAAGAAUGAUGGUAUGAUUAAUAUCUUUUGUAACAACAAAGAAUGUUUUAAGAGAAAUGCUUUUGUUGAAAACAGAGGCUUGGGUUUUGCCUGCAAUAUGUAAUUUUAAAUUGUUAGCGGUAGAGAGUUUUUCAGAGGUAUUUUGGAAAAAUCGUUUUGGAACUACGCAUUCUUUAAUGCAGUUUAAAUCUACACCUAUGUCAAAUAAGGCAAUAAUAUCUAGUUUGAAAUCGUCUGAAAAAACUAAUGUAAUUUUAAUCAAGUAUUUUUUGGAAGAUAUUUGGGUUAACACAUUCAAGAAAUUGUCAGGAAUAUGUUCAAUGUUUGUAAGUGCAUGAGGUAAUAUAUGAGACUCAAUGUUUUGGUCGUCUGGUUCGGAUUCAGUGUCAGACUGACUUUCAGUUUUGGGCAGAAGAUGUUGUAAUAUGGCAAAGUCUUUCUGUUGGGCUUGUUUUAGGGUUUGUAACUCGGAUUUGAGGGUUUUGAUCUUAGAAUGUAAUUCUGGGAUUGUGACUGUGGUUUUGGAUUUCUUUUUAUUAAGGAUCUUUGUAAGGUCAUAGGUAUUGGUACUGGUGGAGGGUAAUACAGAGCGAUUUGAAGGGUUAGAAGGAAGAUGCUCUGGUUUGUUGAAAUCUUUUAACAGCUUAUCUAAAUAGGUUUUUUGGAGCAUUCACCUAUGAACUAAGGUUCUCUUCUCUCUCUAGGGUCUUUGUAAUUUAUGUCACUAUUCCUACCCAGAUCCCAAUGUAAACAAAUUUAUGUCACCUAUGAAGAGAAGGUUGGAGAUGUGGGAGGUGAUUGUUGUUCAAUGUUUGUAUACACUGGUUUUGGUAUAUUUGUAGUGUAAUCUGCAUGUUGGAAACUUGCAGAAGGGAUAUCUGAUGUAGAGUGUCUAGGUAGGUUUGGAUGAUAUGGAAUGUUAAUGACAGAAGGUAUUUUGGAUAUUCUUCCAAGAUCUACUGUGCUGGAAGAGGAAGAUUCUUCAGAGAAUCUGGAACUUGUAGAAUGACGAUGGAAUGACAAUUUGACUUUACCAUCUGUGUAUUGGGUUAUGUCCUUGAUUUGGACAUUUGGUUAUGGUUGUUGUGGUAUUUCUGGUGGGGUUACUCCUUCAAGGAUCCAAUCAUCUGGAAGGGUUAUAUCUUUCCAUUGGAUAGCUUUUGGAAUGACUGUGUUUGAUCGGGAUAGAUCUGUUUGGAGAAGGAGUGUUUCUCCUUUCUGGGAUUGGUAUUUGUGUUUACUGGUAAAGGCUGAGAACAUGACUUUGUAAUGGAUUUUGAAAAUAAGAGCAACGAGGAUGGAUCCUUCAAGCAUAUUGUAAUUAUGGGUUUUGAUUUAUAGUAUCAUGCUUUGUAAGAUGUUUCUGUCUUUGAGAGAUAUAGUAAUAUUUGGAUAGCAGUCAAAAGAUACUGGACCGCUACAGAGGUUAGACUCAAUAGAACUGAGGAGUGAGUCUUGGAAAUUAUGGAAUCUAGCAUCUCGAAGGACAACCAGAAUGGAGGUGUUUAAACCUUUUUUUGUAAGGGGUUUUAUACUGACUUGGACUAGACCAACAUGAAUAUAUUUGUAGUUUCUAGCUAGGUGUUUUUGCAUGGAUUUUUUGGAGAGGAGUUGAAUGGUCUCAAAAGGUUUUGUAAGCUGAAUAUCUCUUUCUUUAGUUUUAAUUGUAAAUCUAUUUUGAAAAUAUCAUAUUUUGAUUUUUGAUAAAUCUGUAUUUGAGAAAUUUUUGAAAUUUUCCAUUCAUCAAUGUUUUUUUGUAAAAUCUUCAAUGGUUAUUUUCUCACUUUGUACAAUCCUCUUAUUCUCGGAGGUUUCAGAUGUAGAAGAAGCCGAAACAGAAGUAGAUCUAUAAAAAACAGAAUCCAUAGUUUGAAAAGAUAAUUUAGAAAACAGGCUGCAAGUUAUAUGGGUUUACUGCCCUAAUCACUCAACGAGACUUACACCAUUUAGUAGCAUUCACUUAUUAACUAAGGUUCUCUUCUCUCUCUAGGGUCUUUAUAAUUUAUGUCACUAUUCCUACCCAGAUCCCAAUAGGCUAUGAUACCAAUAGAUACACUACCAUGUGUUGUAAAUUCAAAAUCAAAUGGUGGGAUUCCUUUGCAGCUGAAUCCAAAAGUUCCAAAUUAGCUGUUAUGGAAUGGUUACAAAAGAAUCUGAUACCAAUAGAUGAGCUGAAUAUCCCUUUCUUCAGUUUUAAUUGUAAAAUCUAUUUUGAAAAUAUCAUAUUUUGAUUUUUGAUAAAUUUGUGUUUGAGAAAUUUUUGGAAUUUUCCAGUCAUCAAUGUUUUUUGUAAAAUCUUCAAUGGUUAUUUCCUCACUUUGUACAAUCCUCUUAUUCUCGGAAGUUUCAGAUGUAGAAGAAGUCGAAACAGAAGUAGAUCUAUAAAAAAAAGAAUCCAUAGUUUGAAAAGAUAAUUUAGAAAACAGGCUGCAAGUUAUAUGGGUUUACUACCUUAAUCACUCAACGGCACUUACAUCAUUCAGUAGCAUUCACCCAUGAACUAAGGUUCUCUUCUCUCUCUAGGGUCUUUGUAAUUUAUGUCACUAUUCCUACCCAGAUCCCAAUAGACUCUGAUACCAAUAGAUAAGUUGAAAGUACGAACAAGAAAUAAUACAAAACGCAACACAGUACGUGGCGUUGUUAUACUUGAGAAUGAUCUUUAGAUCGGGUCAUAGGUUUCCAGCCUAUAUACCGAGUUUGUAAAGAAAGAAGAAAAGAAAACAGAUAACUUUUUGAUGCGAAUGAACAAGGCAAAACCAACAAUUAUAUAUAUAUAUAUAUAUAUAUAUAUAUAUAUAUAUAUAUAUAUAUAUAAUUUUUAAAAAGUUAUUUUUGAUAUCAAUAUAUCAAAACGAUAAAAAAAAAUAUAAAAAUAAUUUUAAAUAAAACAAAUUUAAAUUUUUAAGAAACACAAUUUUUAAAACGUUCCCAAAUGGUUAGAUAGAUCCCAGCCAUGACUUUCCAAACACUAUUUUUACUUUUUUAUUUUUAUUUUUCUGUCUGAAAGACGACACAAUUGAUGAGGUUAUAAAUCCUUCAAAGACAAAUGAGCUUUAUUAUAGAAAGUAUAUAUAUAGGAAAUAUUAUAGGUAUAUUAUAUAGGAAAUAUUAUAAUCAUAUUCUUGUGUUGUAAUCUCCACCAUUACUAUUGUAUAUUACCCUACACAUAUAUAUAGAAAAAAUUAGCUAAUCAAUAGAAAUCAAAGGACUGUUUUUACAGAUACUCAAGUUUUUAUCAUAAAUCUGGAAUUCUUUAAACUAAAAAGAAGAAAUCAAAGUACUUGAAAAUAUUGAUUAACCACGAUCUCAAACACUAAAUAACUUAUUAUUUACAUAUCCUGGAUUUUAGAACAUCAUCAAAUAUAUAUAAUUUAACAGCACAAUAUUAAAGUGAAAGAAAAGAAUAAUAUUGGAGAACCCUAAUGAUAGUCAUCUAGAGAAAGAGAAAUAUAUAAAUGAAGGCCAUUCCUUAUCUCGUUGUUUGGAGCUUUUGGAAUUGAAUUCAAUUUCUAGGGUUAAAUCAAUUUUUGUGUUUAGAGUUUCUUUUUAUGGUAUUGAUAAUAAAAAAAUAAGCAAAAAUAAAUUAAAUAAGAGAACCUCUGAUUUUCUGCAGUAAUUUCAAAUAAAAAAUAUCAUUUCAAAAAUACCUUUAAAAUUUCUCUAUAAAACUUAACACAUGGUUUACUAAAACCCCAGCAACAAGCCAUAAAGUUUCUCAUUCUAUAAAGUCACAAUAAAAAAGAAAAGAAAAAUAAAUUUUUAAAACUUGACAAAUUAUAUUGAUUAAUAGUUUUUUAUUCACCAUGCACUCAUAAUAAAUCAAUUAGUGCUUUUCAUUUUCGUUUAGUGAUGAGGAUGGGGUGCUAGAUGCUAAGAACUGACUGAACCGAUGGAGAGGUUUUAGCAUACCUCCUAAGAUAGGAUUAGAUGGUCCACUAAACUAAACUGACUUGUAGAGUCUCUAUAAGAAGAUUUCUAAUUGUGGUUACACCUAAUAAACCAUAGGAUUAAAUGGUCCCUUCAAUUAAAAAGUCCACUAAAAUUACAGUUAUGCUAUGUUAAUUACCCAAAGGGUACAACCCCUAGCUGUGAUUAUUAUUCCAUUAGAUAGGCCUCCUCAAUUACCGAAAUACACAGGGGAUCAACUCGUCUUUAUACACUAAAAACACAACUAUAAAAGCAAAUCUUCACGUCCAUUCCUUGUUCAGAAGCUAAUUAGUGAGAGCAAGUGUGAUUAUCGGGAAGAGUUCGAAAGGAUGGCAUCACCAUCUCGGCGUCAUCUUGUGCAUGCCAUGGUUUUCGGCUUACUAGCAAUUAACGUGGCGGCCAAUAUUUAUGAUAAUGAGGAACCUCCUAGGCCACCUCAUGAUCACGAAGACCCACCAUUACCAUAUAAUCAUAAAAACUCUCUAUUUCUGCCAUCAGGACUUCUUCAUCGAGGAACACCGCCGCCGCCGCCUCGAUCACCACCACCUCCAAAUAAGAAGAAAACGCCCCCACCACCUCCAAAAAAGAAGAAAACACAGUCACCUCC